GUCAGCGUGGUGGAAUUGGCAUACACAAGGGUCUUAAAAACCCUCGCCUUCGGGCUUGCGGGUUCGAAUCCCGUCGCUGACACCA
rnacentral:tRNA from 1 species